UAAAUGGCACCGGGGAUGAACAACUUUUGUCACGUGACCGCAAAAGUCAACGCCGGUUGCAGAAACAGAUUGUAAUCUUGUACAUUAAGAAACAUGACGCUCGUGUGUGAAAUCUGUGGAAAGACAUUUAAAUCGAAGUGGGGGUUAAAGCUUCAUGAUAAGCGCCACAGAGGGACUGGACGAUUCGCCUGUUGUGGAAAAACAUUUUACACAAAACAGGCGUUCAACAGACACAGAUGCAGCAUUCAUGGUGUUGAAAAGCCGUUCCCCUGUGAACAAUGCGGCAAAAAGUUUUCAACCAAAGAUGACCUGAAUCGUCACGUCCGGAGGGAGGUUGCUGCAAAGCAAUUUACCUGCUCAAUUUGCAAUGCAACGCUCCGGGAGAAAAUUGACCUUCAGGCCCACCUUGCCACCCACAAUGGAGAGAAAAACUUUGCUUGUGAUAUGUGUGAAAAGAGGUACAGGCACCGCAGUAGUCUAUCAAAGCACAGAUCUGCAAAGCACCGGGCCUAGUCAUCUGUUGCAUGACGAUGAUAAGACCAAGAAUUAUUUUUAAUUCUUACCAAUGUGCCGUGGUUAUUUUCUUAAUUAUUGAAAAUACAGACUGUCAUACAAUAAUAUAUAGUAUUACGCGUGUUUUUGCGUCUUAAACAUUGUGUUUCAUAUCGUUUAUCUUGUGUUGUUUUGUUUGAUAUUCCUGUUUUUAAUAAGAUUAUUGUUGUAAUAUUUAUCAUUCUAAUUUAAAAUGAUUAUGAUAAUGGUUGAUCUCAUACAAAUUAUUGUGUUCAUUAUUGCUCAUCUGUGAUUACUGUUGAUCUCAGCCCAUGAAUUGUGAUUUAUAUUGAUUAUCUGUGAUUAUUGUUGAUCUUAUCAAAAUAAUUGUAAUUUAUGUUGAUUAUCUUUGAAUUUUUUAUCUUAACCUAUUAAUAGUGAUUUAUAUUAUCUGUGAUUAUUGUUGAUCUUAUCAAAAUCAUUGUGAUUUAUGUUGAUUAUCUGUGAUUAUUGUUGAUCUCAACCGAUUAAUUGUGAUUUAUAUAACCAGUGAUUAUUGUUGAUCUUAUCAAAAUCAUUGUAAUUUAUGUUGAUUAUCUGUGAUUAUUGUUGAUCUUUUCGAAAUCAUUGUAAUUUAUGUUGAUUAUCUGUGAUUAUUGUUGAUCUUUUCGAAAUCAUUGUAAUUUAUGUUGAUUAUCUGUGAUUAUUGUUGAUCUUUUCAAAAUCAUUGUAAUUUAUGUUGAUUAUCUGUGAUUAUUGUUGAUCUCACCAUAUCCGCUGGAAUAUACAUUUGAGCCGCGCUCUGUGAAAAGGGGGUUUAAUGCAUGUGCGUAAAGUGCAGUCCACAUAGGCUAAUCAGGGACGGCACUUUCCGCUUUUAUGAUAUGUUUUGUUAAAAGAAAGUCUCUUCUGAGCAAAAAUCGAGUUUAUCGGAAAGGUUUGUCCCUAAUUAGCCUGUACGGAAUGCACAGGCUAAUAUGUGACGACACCUUACGCACAUGCAUUAAACCCCCUUUUCACAGAGCGAGACUCAUUUGUAAUCUGCGAUUUUUGUUUAUCUAUUUCGAAUCAAUAUGAUUAAAAUAUAUUUUUGGUGAGUUAGCUUUUUGUCUCAUUGGAAUCAUUGUGCGAAUUGUCAACAAUUACAUGUAAAUCUGUAAUUCCUUCUCAAGUUGCACAUAGGCCAGUUUAAUGUUUUGCGUAUAAGCUAUUAUUGCGAUACGGGAUAUUCUUUGCAGCAAUAAAACAAUUAAUCUGCA